GACGAACGCUGGCGGCGUGCUUAACACAUGCAAGUCGAACGGAAAGGCCCUGCUUUUGUGGGGUGCUCGAGUGGCGAACGGGUGAGUAACACGUGAGUAACCUGCCCUUGACUUUGGGAUAACUUCAGGAAACUGGGGCUAAUACCGGAUAGGAGCUCCUGCUGCAUGGUGGGGGUUGGAAAGUUUCGGCGGUUGGGGAUGGACUCGCGGCUUAUCAGCUUGUUGGUGGGGUAGUGGCUGACCAAGGCUUUGACGGGUAGCCGGCCUGAGAGGGUGACCGGCCACAUUGGGACUGAGAUACGGCCCAGACUCCUACGGGAGGCAGCAGUGGGGAAUAUUGCACAAUGGGCGGAAGCCUGAUGCAGCGACGCCGCGUGCGGGAUGACGGCCUUCGGGUUGUAAACCGCUUUCGCCUGUGACGAAGCGUGAGUGACGGUAAUGGGUAAAGAAGCACCGGCUAACUACGUG
rnacentral:rRNA from 1 species